rnacentral:rRNA from 1 species
UACGGAGGAUCCAAGCGUUGUCCGGAAUCAUUGGGUUUAAAGGGUCCGCAGGCGGUUUAAUAAGUCAGUGGUGAAAGCCCAUCGCUCAACGGUGGAACGGCCAUUGAUACUGUUAAACUUGAAUUAUUAGGAAGUAACUAGAAUAUGUAGUGUAGCGGUGAAAUGCUUAGAGAUUACAUGGAAUACCAAUUGCGAAGGCAGGUUACUACUAAUGGAUUGACGCUGAUGGACGGAAGCGUGGGUAGCGAACAGG